rnacentral:rRNA from 1 species
CGGUAUGCUUACACAUGCAAGUCGAACGGUAACGCGAGGAGCUUGCUCCUUGGCGACGAGUGGCGGACGGGUGAGUAACGCGUGGGAAUCUGCCUACUAGCGGGGGAUAGCCCGGAGAAAUCCGGAUUAAUACCGCAUACGCCCUACGGGGGAAAGCUGGGGAUCUUCGGACCUGGCACUAGUAGAUGAGCCCGCGUUGGAUUAGCUUGUUGGUGGGGUAACGGCCUACCAAGGCUACGAUCCAUAGCUGGUCUGAGAGGACGAUCAGCCACACUGGGACUGGGACACGGCCCAGACUCCUACGGGAGGCAGCAGUGGGGAAUAUUGCACAAUGGGCGCAAGCCUGAUGCAGCAAUACCGCGUGUGUGAAGAAGGCCUGCGGGUUGUAAAGCACUUUCAAUAGUGAAGAAAAGCUUAAGGUUAAUACCCUUAAGUCUUGACGUUAACUAUACAAGAAGCACCGGCUAACUCCGUGCCAGCAGCCGCGGUAAUACGGAGGGUGCAAGCGUUAAUCGGAAUUACUGGGCGUAAAGCGUGCGUANGAU